UACGAAGGGGCUAGCGUUGUUCGGAAUUACUGGGCGUAAAGGGCGCGUAGGCGGUCCUGAUCGUCGGAUGUGAAAGGCCUGGGCUCAACCUGGGAACUGCAUCCGAUACGGCGGGACUGGAGUGUGGGAGAGGUUGGUGGAAUUCCGCGUGUAGCAGUGAAAUGCGUAGAGAUGCGGAGGAACACUGAUGGCGAAGGCAGCCCCCUGGGCUAACACUGACGCUCAGGCACGAAAGCGUGGGGAGCAAACAGG
rnacentral:rRNA from 1 species